rnacentral:lncRNA from 1 species
UAUCUGGUCGCUUAGGCCAAAAGCUAAUAACAAAGAAUCACAGAAUCAGAGAACUGUCGGGGUUGGAAGGGACAACUGGAGAUCGUGGGGUCCAGCCCCCUGCUAAAGCAGUUCCCUGCAGUAGAUUGCACAGGAAGGCAUGCAAGUGGGUCUUGGAUAUCUAUAGAGGAGACUCCACAACCUCUCCAACCAGCAUCUUCCAGUGCUCUGUCACCUUCAAAAUAAAGAUGUCUAUAUAGAACUUCAUGUGUUACAGUUUGUGCUUGUUACCCCUUGUUCUCUCACUGGGCACUGUUGAAAAGAGCUUGGGCACAUCCACCUGACA